UUAUAUAAGUGGUUUAUUCAAUUUUUUUUAUCGUGUAUACUAAGUGAUUUUUUUAUCAUAAUUCACUUAAUUAUUUACUUAAUAAAAAUAAAUAAAACUUAUUUGUUUUUUUUUUUUUUGCUUAACUUAAAUUACUUACUAUUCUAAAAAUUCAAGAAAAAUAUGUAUCUAAAGUUACAUUGAAAGCAAUGUGCAGGUAUGACUCAAUUAAAUAAAUGAAAAGUGAGAGUUGGGUUUCUUAUUAUAAUAAAGAAAUAAGUUUAACUUUUAAAAAAAUGUAUACAACUAAAGUUGUUUUACUUUGACGGCUGAUUUCUCAUAUAAGAACAAUUGUUGAACAAUGUUGUCAUUUUAAUUAUAAUACACUUCAAAAGUUUCCAUUUUAUGUAGUUUAGAAAUUGUCAAACCUAAUAUUAUAGUUUUAAAACAUUUUGGAAUUUGCAAAACUCGAGUUGAAUAAAAGUUUUUAUACGCGUGAGUAGUCCCUUUCCAACCAUACUUGUACUUAGGUUUGAUCAUUAAUAUUAGUCCAGUUAUAGCUGUUCAUUUUUUAUGGACAGACAUAAAAAAUAUACUGUAUAUUAACAUAAAACUAAUAUAUUCUCAGCUUCGUAUGAAAGAUAAAAAAUUACAUUUUCCGUAAAGUUAAAUUGAAUAAUAAUUUUAAAAAAACCCAGCACAAGGGGGUCGCGACACAGUGGUGAAGUGCAUAAUUGGGUCCAGUAUAGAUGAUAUCUGACAGUGAUUAAAAUCACUAUGAUAAAAAACGCUUCGAUGCAAAUCUUUAGAUAAUGUUUAAUUUUAAAAAAUUGGUGGAUUAUUACAAAAGCUACAUGACCUGAUAUAUCCUUAUUUAUAUCCUGAUUAAGAUAAAGUAUGUCGAAUAAAAGCGGGAUAUAAAUAUUAUUUCUCAUAAAAAAAUUGUAUUGAAAGUUAAAAAUGUAAAAUACAAAAUCAAGAAUUUUCACACAAAAAUAGCAUCUGGUAACUAUUUUCACCGUGAAGACAAAAUAAAGUCCAUGAUAAAGAAUAGUAUAUAUAACUUUUAAAAGUUAAUUUUUUGUGAAAAAGUUGUCAUUUUGACUUCCCCCUGUGGGCAGGUAAAGGGUUAGAUUUAUAAAAAAAAAUAUACAAAAUGAUAGGUAAGUACCUCUUGUAUCUAUAUAAAAACAAAUUGUAUUUACUUGGUAUUUUUAAAAAAGUUAUGCCUAUUUAAAAAAAAAACAAUUAAAAAAUGUCGAAAUUAAUUGUUUUUAAAUUUGUAAUUUUUUUAAGAUAUCCCCCAUUUACGGGGAACGAGGGAAAUUUUUUCAAUUUUUGAGGGUAAUGUCUGUGAUUAGAUACGAUUUGUGAUCUUUUGACGUAUCGUUGUAAGAAAUCUGUUCGGUGAGAGCUGAGAAAAAGUGACAAAAAAAACA